rnacentral:rRNA from 1 species
UGGGGGAUAUUGCACAAUGGGCGAAAGCCUGAUGCAGCGACGCCGCGUGGGGGAUGAAGGCUUUCGGGUUGUAAACCUCUUUCGCUAUCGAACAAGGCCCGCUUAGGGUGGGUUGAGGGUAGGUGGAGAAGAAGCGCCGGCUAACUACGUGCCAGCAGCCGCGGUAAUACGUAGUGCGCGAGCGUUGUCCGGAAUUAUUGGGCGUAAAGGGCUGGUAGGCGGCUUGUUGCGCCUGCUGUGAAAACGCGGGGCUUAACUUCGCGCGUGCAGUGGGUACGGGCAGGGUUGAGUGUGGUAGGGAUGACUGAAAUUCCAGGUGUAGCGGUGGAAUGCGCAGAUAUCUGGAAGAACACCGAUGGCGAAGGCAGGUCACUGGGCCAUUACUGACGCUGAGGAGCGAAAGCAUGGGUAGCGAGCAGG